rnacentral:rRNA from 1 species
GUGAACGCUGCGGUAGGCUAACACAUAGCAAAGUCGAACGGCGAGCGACAGUAAGAGCUUGCUCUAGUGGUGGCGGAGUGGCGACGGGUGAGGAAUACAUCGGAAUCACCUUUCUGGGGGAUAACGUAGGGAAACUUAACGCUAAUACCGCAUACGACUUCGGGUGAAAGCCAGGGGACCUUCGGGCCUUGCGCGGAUAGAUGAGCCGAUGUCGGAUUAGCUAGUUGCGGGGUAAAGGCCCACCAAGGCGACGAUCCGUAGCUGGUCUGAGAGGAUGAUCAGCCACACUGGAACUGAGACAGGUCCAGACUCCUACGGGAGGCAGCAGUGGGGAAUAUUGGACAAUGGGCGCAAGCCUGAUCCAGCCAUACCGCGUGGGUGAAGAAGGCCUUCGGGUUGUAAAGCCCUUUUGUUGGGAAAGAAAAGCAGUCGAUUAAUACUCGGUUGUUCUGACGGUACCCAAAGAAUAAGCACCGGCUAACUUCGUG